CCCAAGUUAAGCGUGCUUGGGCGAGAGUAGUACUAGGAUGGGAGACCUCCUGGGAAGUCCUCGUGUUGCACCCCUGGG
rnacentral:rRNA from 1 species